UACGUAGGGUGCAAGCGUUGUCCGGAAUUAUUGGGCGUAAAGAGCUCGUAGGCGGUUUGUCACGUCGGAUGUGAAAACCCGAGGCUUAACCUCGGGCCUGCAUUCGAUACGGGCUGACUAGAGUUCGGUAGGGGAGACUGGAAUUCCUGGUGUAGCGGUGAAAUGCGCAGAUAUCAGGAGGAACACCAAUAGCGAAGGCAGCUCGCUGGGACGUUACUGACACUGAGGCGCGAAAGCGUGGGGAGCGAACAGG
rnacentral:rRNA from 1 species